UCGUCAGUGAGGUACAUCCUUACCUGUUACUCCAGUAAUGGAGUAUCAGAAAAUGAUGAAUGGAGGUUUAUGAGAUAUGAUUAUUAUCUCUGGCUUGUGGAGAACAGCAACACUCCACAAGACCCAUUCUGAU
ensembl:snoRNA U8 U8 small nucleolar RNA